rnacentral:rRNA from 1 species
UAGUUAUGUUCUUUAAACCUAAAGAAUUUGGCGGUGUUUUAGUCUUUUCAGAGGAAUCUGCCCCUUAAUCGAUAGUCCUCGUUUUAUCUUACUUAAAUUAAUUUGUAUGUAUACCGCCGUUAUAAGUUUAUGUUUUUAGAUUAUUAAUUUACUUUAUAUUUUAUUUAAUUUUAUUUCAGGUCAAGGUGCAGCUUAUAUUUAAGUGGAGGUGGAUUACAAUAUUAUUUAAUAAACGGAUUUAUUUUUGAAAUUUAUUUAUUGAAGGUGGAUUUGACAGUAAUUUUAUUUAUAAUAUUAUUUUGAUUUUAGCUCUAAAGUAAGUACACAUCGCCCGUCGCUCUA